rnacentral:rRNA from 1 species
UGAAAGACCUCGGCGCAACCGGAGAAUUGCAUCAGAAACUGUUGAACUUGAGUGCAGAAGAGGAGAGUGGAACUCCAUGUGUAGCGGUGGAAUGCGUAGAUAUAUGGAAGAACACCAGUGGCGAAGGCGGCUCUCUGGUCUGCAACUGACGCUGAGGCUCGAAAGCGUGGGGAUCGAA